rnacentral:hammerhead_ribozyme from 1 species
GUCCAGGUGACAAGUCCCAAAUAGGACGAAACGAGCGUCCUGUAU